UGCCACUUGCAGCAACACGGAUGGACUUAGAAGUGAUCAUACUAAGGGAAGCCUCAGUGACCCGGGCUGCCGUGCCACCCCUAGAAUAUGAGCCGGCUUGGGUCCCAAGGCUGGACUGACCUGGGACAGAGGGACCUGGGAAGGAUGGUGCAGCAACUGAGCCCUCCUCGGACCUGUAGUGCCUGGUCCCAUCUGCGUGGGACCACAGUCUCCAGAUCCAGGAAAUCAAGUUAUCAAUGCCUGAAGGAGAUUGACCAGAGGUGGAAGGACAUAGCAAAUUUCCCGAUCAUCACACAGACAUCAGCACCACAGAACCCCUAAAGUCCAGAACGUGUAGAAGCAAACGAGGGGACAAACUGCCUCAAAAGGGAUAUUAGUCAUGUAUACUCCCUGCAAGAGUACAUCAAAGGGCUUGUUUCCACUGAUGUUGACAAGAGACGCUACAAAGGCACUUUACGUUUUCUAUAUAAGAGAAGAAAAAUGAUUACAUUGGCUUUGUAAUUUAUUUCCCCCUGACCAUCAUUGAGGUUGGGUGCCUCUUCAUGUGUAAAAUGAUCAUUUUUCUUUUACAGUGAAAUUUAAUUUCAUAGGUUCCAGAUAUUUUUGUUUGCUUCUAUUUUUUCUCUUGAUUGAGAGGCAAUUCAAAUAUACUUUAUAGUUGUGGUGUCUUCUCCCACAUCCUUCCAAGCCAAUUACUGUGCACACAGUCACUAAAAAAAUUCGUCAAGGAACUUGUUUUCACAGGUCAUCCAUCACUCAAGACACUCGAUAUGAGGGCCAUCUGCCAUGCACAGCCUUACAUCAAGAGCUCUGUACUGAGCUCUUUGUUCUCAACUUGUGGACCAGUUAAAGGAUGAGGAUAUCGUUAAACCUCACAACCUACAGCGAACCACAUUGGCCAGUCCUCAAACAUCAUUGCCAACAGGCCUGGGAGCUUCUCCUAUGACGUUCCCCAGCUUGCCACCAAGACAUCUGGUCUGGACCAUGUCACCAACCACAGAGCACUGAAGUGUAGACUCAAUGUGCAGACCAGAGAAUGUCAAACAUAAAUGUGAUCAGGACUCCAAACUCAGGCAGCAGGCAAGAGAUCUGCCUGGGUCUCCAACCUGUUUUGCUAGAUCUUCCCCUCCUACCUACCCCCUCCUCACAAAAAUGUAAGACUCAGGUCCCUUUCAUCCUCUGAGGAUACUCAGAGACCUGAUCUGUGGAAUUAUCCACAGCCUUUAUCCUCUUCCCAGUACAACUGGACUUGGAUUCACACAGGCACACCAAAUGACCAUAAGGACACCUGCCCCAAUGCUAAGCAUUGACUCCCAGCCUCUACCCAACUCACCUCACCUGAGCCCAAUCCAGGCCUGCACUGUCCCCCAACCUCCACCAUCUACGCAUGUUCCAGACCAACCCCUCAGAAUUGUCUUCAUGAUGGGACAAGGGAUGCGGGGAGGGCUCCAGGUUCAGAACACCUUUCAUUUCAUCCUCCUAAGAAGCCUUCUCCUACAAGUCAGAUGUUUCACCUCUUAGGGGAACCUGGGUGAUACUGACCCAUAUCCCAGUCCACGUUCUCCAGGAGGACCUUCUGGUCUCCUCUGAGGGGAGUGACCCGCCCUGCCCCAAGGCACGGAAGAUUCAGCCUCCAGGCUAACAGGGCUCAGAGGCGACUACUGGAGUAAAAGAAAGAAGAAAGGAGCAGAAUUUGUCUCAUGAAUUAGCACUUCCCCAGCUGUGGUUUAUGUACAAAUUUCAGAACACCAGAUAUAUUGAGAACUGCACAGCCCAUCUCAUGUAAUGUUAUGAAUUGUGUAAAUUUAACUUAUGUUUUAAAUGGAGGCUACCAAACUGUCAUAUGAAGUAUUUAGUAAUUUUUUUAAAAUUUAAAUUGUUUCCUGAUCCUUUCACAACAUAUGUCAUUAUGCUGUACACCCACCAUUUCUACAGUACUGUAUGUCAAUAAUAUCUCAAUAGAACUGAAAGAAAAAUAAAGGAAAAUAUUGGU